UGUUUCUCUGCUUCUGGCAUAUAUUAUGGGACGGGGAUAAGAAAUUGCACUGUUCUGAGGUUUCUUUUACUUUACUGAUGUAUGUUGUCUUAAGUAUGCGAACACGGUUCCCAAUUUCCUUCUGGCAGCAGCUCAAUUUUACAAUUAAUGGUAGGUUUUCUCAAUUCUCUCAAAGUUCAGCGUUAAAAAUUUAAUCUAACCAGGUAACGACGGUUCGCUUUGGGUUUUGUCAAAGAUAUCUAUAAAGAUGAAAUUUCCAGGCAAUUAUCACAAACACAUGGUAGGCAAAUAAAAAACUUUUGAAUCUUCUCAUCAUACACAGCAUAAGCAUCUUGGAAUUUAGUUCCAUCAGGUUUCUAAACAAUCUGUUGUGUGGGUGGCAAACAGGGACAAUCUUAUCACUGCCUCAUCAGGAAUUCUCUCAAGCAACCCAUAUGGGAACCUUGUUCUUUAUAAUGAUCCUGACCAACAAGUUCUGCUCUGGUCUGCAAAUGUUUCAGGGGAAGCAACUGAUUCUUGUGUGGCUCAACUCUUGGAUUCAGGAAAUUUGGUUUUGCUCCAUGGCAGAAAUAAAAGAUCGCAAAGCUGUGAUCAUCCUACUGAUACCCAACUACCUGGAAUGAGACUUGGGCUGAAUCGGAGGAGAGUUCAAGAGUGAAUCCCAACCUCAUGGAGAUCAGAAGACGACCCAGGAACUGGAGACUACUCGAUUAAUAUGAAGGGCAUACCGCAAAUCUUUCUAUGCAAGGGCUCAAGACCUCAAUGGCGAGCCUCCCAGUGGCCAAAGAUAUUCUCAGAUAUAUACAACUACAGUUACGAAUUCAAUCAAGAGGAGAUCUACUUUUCCUACCAUCUCAAAGAUGCUCCUAUUAUCCUAAAAGUAAUUGUGGAUGAUUCAGGAUUCAACAAGUGGCUAAGGUGGCACAAGAGUGAUAGCUAAUGGAAGGUGUUCUGGUCUAUAACUAAAUACAGAUGUGAUUUAGAUGCAUGGUGUGGUUCUUAUAGUAAGUACAGUCCUAGCAAUCCUGAUGUAUAUGAGUGUUCUUGUUUACCUGGGUAUGAACCCAAAUCCCCAAGGGAACAGAUCAUAAGGAUAAAAAUUAUAAUUUGUAUGUUCGUGUUGAUGCAAUUAGGUAUUUCAACAAAUUUUGAAAUGCAAUACUAAUCUUCAUAAACAAGACUAAUGGCCCGUUCUGAACAAAUUUUGUGUACUGGUUCUGUUAUAUUCUUAGCUUUUACGUCUUGAUUCAAAUCCAAAGGAAAGGCAUCAUUUUUCGCUUUAGAGUAAUAUUGUAUUCUUUUUUCCACUGAUGCAACUGCAUAUGCCACAAAGUCAAACUUUUUUCUUAGAAAGGGGCUAGACAUUCUAAUA
rnacentral:misc_RNA from 1 species